GAUGAAGAACGUAGCGAAAUGCGAUAAGUAAUGUGAAUUGCAGAAUUCAGUGAAUCAUCGAAUCUUUGAACGCACCUUGCGCCUUUUGGUAUUCCGAAAGGCACACCUGUUUGAGCGUCAUGAAUACCUCAAUCUCCAUCUUUUCUUCGGAUUGAUGGGUGACUUGGAUGUUGAGCCCUGCUGGUAUGCUAUAUCAGCUGGCUUUAAACUUAUUAGCCGGCUCUGUACUGGAUCGGUUUGACUCGACGUGAUAAUAUUAUCGUUGAGGAUGCAUGUCUCAUGCAGCCGGAAAGUAUCAAAGCAGCUUCUAGCUUGCCUUUAGUGCACUUUUACAUUUUAGACCUCAGAUCAGGUGGGACUACCCGCUGAACUUAAGCAUAUCAUAGCGGAGGA
rnacentral:misc_RNA from 1 species